GCGUGCUUGCUUCUAGUUCUGCUUAGCUGAGUCUGGGACCCACCAUGUAGUUUUGCCUCCUGUGUUGCUCCUGUAUGGACCCUGGACAUCAGUCAUCAGCUUGCAGUGCCUUGGGCUGUCAAUGGACCUUGCUUUCAGCACACAACUUGGAUGCUGCAGGACUACACUCAGUCGCAACUGUGCUUGCUGAACCUAUUCACCCAGCAAUGAAUACUCCAGAUGACCUCAAUCUCAAAGGCUCUCCAGGAGAAAGAAGACCAAAAUGGCAUGACUAACCUGAUCUGAAAGGCAAGGUCUGUCUGUGCUUGUAAACACGGUGAUCUCAGACUGGCCAUUUUAAGCGCUUUAGUGAUUAGAGAGGUGCCAUGACAACAGAAUUUGCUUCACGUGUUGCGUCACAUUGAACCACAAGGGACUUAGAUGAUUAUUCAGGACAACCUAAGACGACUCUACACAACUUCCAGUGAAAAAUACUGUUGGAUUUAUUGUUUUAAGGCUAAAUUAUUGGAGUAAUAAAAGAUAUAUAAAAAGAUAACAAAUGCCAUGAAGCCACUAUAUUUUAUAUAGAAAACAAAACAUUUGUUACAGUUGUAAUCUCCCAUGCUUCAAAGAAUAUAUCUUGGUCCAACUUCCACUGAAAUUAUUUUGUAUGAAUUCAAAGAAUCAUUGAGCUGUAUUUACCCAGUUUUGUAAACUAGAUUCCUUCCUAGGAUCCCUCAAUCCCGUGUACAAAUGUAUUGAAUUUCAAAGAAUUUAGAGGAUUUAAUACUCAGUUCUAGUUUCACUAACAACAACUUUUUCCUCUAACUUAAAUGCACACUGAUCCACGGUUUGAAGAACUGAAAAUCUCUCUCUGCAUGUGGUGGUUUGCUUUCAACUGCUCUUAUAA